GCCGGGUUCGGUGCCGGGUUCGGGUUCGGUGCCGCGGCGCCGUUACUCGGAGGCGGCGCUGGCCAGCGACUACAGCCGCACCGUGGAGCACGUCCUGGGCCGCAACUUCGUGGAGUGGCUGCUGGCGCGGCGCGAGAGGGACAGCCCAGACCCCACGGAGCCCCUCGGGAGCGAGGCCGGGACCCCAAAAGGGGCCGGGGACGGCGGAAAAUCGGAUUUGGGGGCGCCGGGAGCCGAAGAUUUCCUGGGAUGGCUCCGGAAAAUCCAGGAAAAGCCGAGUUUUCCAGCUCUGGAAAAUUCCGCGGGCCUGAGGGAAUUUUUGGAGCGGGAAUUCCUGACCUGGCUGAUGUCGGGGGAGCUCUGCAGGGCCACGUGAGUGCCCAAAAAUGCCAAAAAUCCCCUAAAAUUCCAGGGGUUUGGGAGGUUUUUUUUCCCUGGAAGUGCCCAAGGCCGGGGAGAAGAACUGGAUGGGAUUUGGGAUUUUUCCAACCCAAACUCAGGAUUCUGGGAUUUGAUUGAUUUUCCACAAUUAUUUCAGGUAAUUCCCACCAAAAUAAAACAAAAAAAACUCAAUACAAAACAGAAAAAAAAAAACCCAAAUAAAAUAAACACCA